rnacentral:lncRNA from 1 species
UGGAUUGGUGUUCUUAUUUUUCUGCUUUCUUUGUAAAUAGGUGUCUUUUCCAGCAAUUGCAUCACUCACUAGGCUGCUUUUCUGUUUCAGGUUUAUUUGACAAAGCACUACAGGAACCGGCGCUUGGGAGACCCUGAUUUUGUACUGGAUUUUGAAGAGAUUUUCGUGAUUAAUUCCAAGACAAAGUCUAUUAGCAGAGCAAAAGUCCUGGUGAGAGCUCUAUGUUUUAUGUUUUGCUUUCAAAAUUGAAAUUUGACAGGGUAUAUCCUAAAUCAUGCCCGAAGGGAAUUUAAUACUUUUAGGGAGCCUUAUCAGUUUAGAUGAAAGUCAUGAAACAUAGUUUUUGGGACGGUGAGUUUGUGAAAAAAUAUAACAGCAUUGCCUAUAAUGCUUGUGGAUAACUACAGUUUGAUAUUGUUGUUCAGCUUAUGUAAGCUGGUUGAAUUUGAUAUAGAGCUAAUGUGUUUGUGCUUUCUGUUGUUGAGCUUUCAUUUCAUGAGUCUGUAA